AUGACUGCACAUUAAGAAGAAAGUAUUUAUGCACUGAGGAUACUGCGCUUAAGAAUAUCAUAAGUCAAAUCUUAUGAUUGUGUCAAUUUUCAAUUUUUGACAAUUUCAUUGCUGUCGUAUGGGAUUCAUUACAAUGAAAUAGAUUUCAUUUAACAGCUUUAUGAUCUGUAUACGAUACACGUUUACAUUUCAUACGUCAGCGCAAUGAAAUUCAAAGCAUCUUGUGUGAAAAAAAUCAUAGUUGGCGCGUAUGGUACUCGAUCAAAUAUAGUGCAAACAUGGCUUCCGCUGAUGAUUUACUUCAGGAUCUUCCGAUUCCGGCUAGUGCGUUGCAAGUAUUCAGAGAGUGCGGAGUGGAUAUAACCGCCCUGAUUAGUUGGACUAAAACGGAAAUUUUUGACGCUAUUUCUUCUGCCCAAAUAAAUUGGAAUAAUAAUUUGAUUUGGGAAUGGAUUUCAAUCUGGCGGAGCCAACCUGGAUGGAGCAAUUAUUGUAAGUGAAAAUGAAAAUCUACAAUCUAACGAACGAUCAAAAAGUGAAGUGAAACUUGAAGUUUACUCUGACUUUAAAGGAGUCAUAAUUUCCGAUCACAAGACAAGUGAGCGUCCAGAAGAAGAAAAAAAACAAGAGGACGAGGAGGAAGCAAAUGUCCACAUCGAUCAAGAGACAAAUGUUUUAUUUACAAAUGAUCAGGAAAUUUGGCCGCAAGAUAAACCAGAUUCAUUGAAAAAGAUAUAUCAAGAUAAAAACAGUAACGUGAACAGGCAUGAAAGCCA